GGCCGCUUGGUGAAACUGGCAGACACGCAAGACUUAGGAUCUUGUGCCGCAAGGCGUCGGGGUUCGACUCCCCGAGCGGCCA
rnacentral:tRNA from 1 species